GAUUCGUCACACUAUCAUUAACUGAAUCCAUAGGUUAAUGAGGCGAACCGGGGGAACUGAAACAUCUAAGUACCCCGAGGAAAAGAAAUCAACCGAGAUUCCCCCAGUAGCGGCGAGCGAACGGGGAGGAGCCCAGAGCCUGAAUCAGCAUGUGUGUUAGUGGAAGCGUCUGGAAAGGCGCGCGAUACAGGGUGACAGCCCCGUACACAAAAGCGCAUGUGCUGUGAGCUCGAUGAGUAGGGCGGGACACGUGGUAUCCUGUCUGAAUAUGGGGGGACCAUCCUCCAAGGCUAAAUACUCCUGACUGACCGAUAGUGAACCAGUACCGUGAGGGAAAGGCGAAAAGAACCCCGGCGAGGGGAGUGAAAAAGAACCUGAAACCGUGUACGUACAAGCAGUGGGAGCACCCUUCGGGGUGUGACUGCGUACCUUUUGUAUAAUGGGUCAGCGACUUAUAUUCUGUAGCAAGGUUAACCGUAUAGGGGAGCCGGAGGGAAACCGAGUCUUAACCGGGCGUUAAGUUGCAGGGUAUAGACCCGAAACCCGGUGAUCUAGCCAUGGGCAGGUUGAAGGUUGGGUAACACUAACUGGAGGACCGAACCGACUAAUGUUGAAAAAUUAGCGGAUGACCUGUGGCUGGGGGUGAAAGGCCAAUCAAACCGGGAGAUAGCUGGUUCUCCCCGAAAGCUAUUUAGGUAGCGCCUCGUGAAUUCAUCUCCGGGGGUAGAGCACUGUUUCGGCUAGGGGGCCAUCCCGGCUUACCAACCCGAUGCAAACUGCGAAUACCGGAGAAUGUUAUCACGGGAGACACACGGCGGGUGCUAACGUCCGUCGUGAAGAGGGAAACAACCCAGACCGCCAGCUAAGGUCCCAAAGUCAUGGUUAAGUGGGAAACGAUGUGGGAAGGCCCAGACAGCCAGGAUGUUGGCUUAGAAGCAGCCAUCAUUUAAAGAAAGCGUAAUAGCUCACUGGUCGAGUCGGCCUGCGCGGAAGAUGUAACGGGGCUAAACCAUGCACCGAAGCUGCGGCAGCG
rnacentral:rRNA from 1 species